UACAGAGGGGGCAAGCGUUAUUCGGAAUUAUUGGGCGUAAAGGGCGCGUAGGCGGCUUUUCAAGUGACGGGUGAAAUCCCUCGGCUUAACCGAGGAACUGCCUGUCAGACUGGAAGGCUUGAGUCCGGGAGAGGUGAGUGGAAUUCCCAGUGUAGCGGUGAAAUGCGUAGAUAUUGGGAGGAACACCAGUGGCGAAGGCGGCUCACUGGACCGGAACUGACGCUGAGGCGCGAAAGCGUGGGGAGCAAACAGG
rnacentral:rRNA from 1 species